rnacentral:rRNA from 1 species
GGCGAACGCUGGCGGCGGGCUUAACACAUGCAAGUCGAACGGAAAGGCCCUGCUUUUGUGGGGUGCUCGAGUGGCGAACGGGUGAGGAACACGGGAGUAACCUGCCCUUGACUUUGGGAUAACUUCAGGAAACUGGGGCUAAUACCGGAUCGGAGCUCCUGCUGCAUGGUGGGGGUUGGAAAGUUUCGGCGGUUGGGGAUGGACUCGCGGCUUAUCAGCUUGUUGGUGGGGUAGUGGCUUACCAAGGCUUUGACGGGUAGCCGGCCUGAGAGGGUGACCGGCCACAUUGGGACUGAGAUACGGCCCAGACUCCUACGGGAGGCAGCAGUGGGGAAUAUUGCACAAUGGGCGGAAGCCUGAUGCAGCAACGCCGCGUGCGGGAUGACGGCCUUCGGGUUGUAAACCGCUUUCGCCUGUGACGAAGCGUGAGUGACGGUAAUGGGUAAAGAAGCACCGGCUAACUACGUG